GACUAUAUUGAUCGACGAUAUUAGACAAAUAUUGUGGGUUGUGAUUUGUGGUUCUUGAUUAGGUGUCGACAAACCAAUAUUUGCGAAGCAAAUCUACCAUCUCACUCCGGCAACUCUUCACAGGUUUUUGUAUGGUGGAGAUUUUGUGGUGAUGGCUGUGGUGUUUUGUAUGGUGGCUGUGAUGAUGUUUGUGAGGUGGCGAAUUUGGGUGGUGUUUAUGUGGUGGCGAUUUUGAGUGGUGUUUUGUGUGGUGGCGGCUUUAUAGUGGUGGCCAUGGUGGUAGAUCUGGCAGUUGCAGUGUGGUGGUGGUAUGUUGGUGUGCAGUGCCUCAGUGUCACUGUCUGUGCG
rnacentral:lncRNA from 1 species